UACGGAGGGUGCAAGCGUUUAAUCGGAAUUACUGGGCGUAAAGCGCACGCAGGCGGUCUGUCAAGUCGGAUGUGAAAUCCCCGGGCUCAACCUGGGAACUGCAUCCGAAACUGGCAGGCUAGAGUCUUGUAGAGGGGGGUAGAAUUCCAGGUGUAGCGGUGAAAUGCGUAGAGAUCUGGAGGAAUACCGGUGGCGAAGGCGGCCCCCUGGACAAAGACUGACGCUCAGGUGCGAAAGCGUGGGGAGCAAACAGG
rnacentral:rRNA from 1 species